UGGCUCAGAGGUUAAAGCAUCUGCCUCCAAUGCGGGAAACCCAGGUUCAAUCCCUGG
rnacentral:tRNA from 1 species